GCCUUCUUAGCUCAGCGGUAGAGCGUUCCACUCGUACCGACUGUACCGACUGUGAGAUGGAAAGGUCGCUAGUUCAAGUCUGGCAGGAGGCA